rnacentral:rRNA from 1 species
GCCUACGGCCACACCACCCUGAACGUGCCCAAUCUCAUCUGAUCUUGGAAGCUAAGCAGGGUCGAGCCUGGUUAGUACUUGGAUGGGAGACCGUGUAGGAAGACCAGGUGCAAUAGAUG